CGCCCCUGGUUACGCUUGUGUUGUCUAAAUACCCACAACGCACCGCGCAGGGUCACUUCAACAUGGUUUAAAUGCAUAGCUACUGAUCCAUAUCUCAGCAUGGACAAAGAACAGCGAAAUACCGUUAUUUUCAAUGCAUCCAAACGCGAGCUCUUCACUAAUAACUCUGGAUUCAAGUCUCUGCAGAAGAAAUUAAGAGCACAGUGGAAGAUUCAAAGCAUCAAAGAGGAGCUCACUCUGGAGAAACUCCAAGGAGCGAAGUUAUGGGUCACCGCUGGCCCUCGAGAAAAGUUCACUGCUGCUGAGUUGGAGGUUCUUAAGCAAUAUCUGGACAGUGGUGGAGGUCUUCUUGUGAUGCUCGGAGAAGGAGGAGAAAUGAAAUAUGACACUAAUAUCAACUUUCUCCUGGAAGAGUUCGGCAUUAUGGUUAAUAAUGAUGCAGUAAUAAGGAAUGUCUAUUACAAGUAUUUCCAUCCCAAGGAAGCACUUGUGUCCAAUGGCGUUCUGAACAGGGAGAUUAGUCGUGCUGCUGGUAAAGUGGUCACAGGUGUCACUGAUGAAGAAAAUACAGGGAAUAAUUCAAAGGCACUUACGUUCAUAUACCCUUAUGGGGCCACAUUAAAUGUGAUAAAGCCUGCGGUGGCAAUCCUGUCCACUGGCUCUGUGUGCUUUCCGCUCAACAGACCUGUGCUUGCCUUCCAUUGUGCCAAGAAUGCUGGCAAGUUGGCAGUUCUGGGCUCAUGUCACAUGUUCAGUGACCAGUACCUGGACAAGGAGGAGAAUAGUAAAAUAAUGGAUAUUGUUUUCCAGUGGCUCACAACCGAUAGCAUUCACCUCAACCAGAUAGAUGCAGAAGACCCAGAGAUCACAGACUACACCAUGCUGCCAGACACAGGGAGUCUGUCCAACCAGCUGAGGGUGUGUCUGCAGGAGGGAGACGAGAACCCACGAGAUUUCACAUCUCUAUUUGACAUGUCUCUGCUAAAGCUGCACACAAACACACUUCCCUCAUUCAUCGAUGCUUACAAGCAGCUGAAUGUCAAACGUGAACCUCUGCAGUUGAUCACACCACAGUUUGAAACACCUCUGCCCCCUCUGCAGCCUGCUGUCUUUCAGCCAGCCUUUCGGGACCUGCGCCCGCCAAUGCUUGACCUUUUUGACCUUGACGAGACCUUUUCUUCAGAGAAAGUGAGGCUGGCUCAGCUUUCAAAUAAAUGUACCGACGAUGAUCUUGAGUUCUAUGUCCGUAAAUGUGGAGACAUCUUAGGAGUGACUGGGAAUUUAGACAAUGAUAAGAGAGAUGCAAAGCACAUACUGGAACACAUCUUCUUCCAGGUGGUGGAGUUCAAGAAGCUCAAUGAAGAACAUGAUAUUGACACAACAGAAGCAAGGUUCAACAUGUACUGAAGCUGGAAGGACUUGUGAACUGUGGAGCAAUACAGCAUUGGAUUGUGUUGAUGUGUGUACAUAUAUAGACACUCGGAUGGCAACUGAAACCGAUGCGCUUCAGCACUGCUCCAAGUGUGAGAGAAGUCAGAUUGUGUGUACCAGACAAUAUAGUGCAUUCCAGACAACUUGAAACUCUAAAUAUUCCCUCUUCCUACUUGAACAUAAUGACUGGAACGCCACUCAACGUUGGAUAUGCGACUUCUAAAGUUGGGGUAAAUCGAUGAACCCUGACUUCUGCAAGAAGUGUCAUUUGAUGUCAUUUCCAAAAUGGUGGCACUCAAAGAGCAUAAACUGGAGCUGGGUGUUGUGAAACAAAAAAAACUUUUAUUCAUAUUCAUUGCACAAAAUGGAUGAAUAUGCUAUAUACAGUAAAUAUACAAGAGGAUGUUAAAAUUGUGUGUGUAUCAAUCAAUGCCUUCACUUAUUUUGCUCAUUAAAUAGCUCCUAGAUAGAGGA